UGGGGAAUAUUGCACAAUGGGCGCAAGCCUGAUGCAGCCAUGCCGCGUGUAUGAAGAAGGCCUUCGGGUUGUAAAGUACUUUCAGUCGGGAGGAAGGUGUCAAGGUUAAUAACCUUGGCAAUUGACGUUACCGACAGAAGAAGCACCGGCUAACUCCGUGCCAGCAGCCGCGGUAAUACGGAGGGUGCAAGCGUUAAUCGGAAUUACUGGGCGUAAAGCGCACGCAGGCGGUCUGUCAAGUCGGAUGUGAAAUCCCCGGGCUCAACCUGGGAACUGCAUUCGAAACUGGCAGGCUAGAGUCUUGUAGAGGGGGGUAGAAGUCCAGGUGUAGCGGUGAAAUGCGUAGAGAUCUGGGGGAAUACCGGUGGCGAAGGCGGCCCCCUGGACGAAGACUGACGCUCAGGUGCGAAAGCGUGGGGAGCAAACAGG
rnacentral:rRNA from 1 species